UACGUAGGUGGCAAGCGUUGUCCGGAUUUACUGGGCGUAAAGGGCGUGCAGGCGGUCUGCUAAGUCUAGGGUGAAAGCUCCCGGCUCAACUGGGAGAGGUCCUUGGAUACGGGCAGGCUAGAGUUCGGUAGGGGAGAUCGGAAUUCCUGGUGUAGCGGUGAAAUGCGCAGAUAUCAGGAGGAACACCGGUGGCGAAGGCGGAUCUCUGGGCCGAUACUGACGCUGAGGAGCGAAAGCGUGGGGAGCGAACAGG
rnacentral:rRNA from 1 species